rnacentral:lncRNA from 1 species
ACACACGACUCCUUAACCAACCUUUGAAGAACCACAAAAAAGAUCAGAAAAAACGAAUAAGAUAGAAGAGGUGGAAGAAACACGUUACAGAAAUCAGAGUAGAAAAUUGAAAGAAGCGGAAGCUUGUUGAUUACCUCACCUUCGACGAGAAGCCGACGACGGAUACCGAUUCAUCGUGACACACAAGCUUAAGCAAGUCUUCGU